UACGUAGGGGGCAAGCGUUGUCCGGAAUCAUUGGGCGUAAAGCGCGCGUAGGAGGCCCGGUAAGUCCGCUCUGAAAGUCAAAGGCUCAACCUUUGAAAGCGGGUGGAUACUGUCGGGCUAGAGUCCGGAAGAGGCGAGUGGAAUUCCUGGUGUAGCGGUGGAAUGCGCAGAUAUCAGGAGGAACACCAACGGCGAAGGCAGCUCGCUGGGACGGUACUGACACUAAGGCGCGAAAGCGUGGGGAGCGAACAGG
rnacentral:rRNA from 1 species